CCCUUAGAUGUUCUGGGCCGCACGCGCGCUACAAUGAUGAAUUCAACGAGUUUAUAACCUUGGUUGAAAAGCCUGGGUAAUCUUUUGAACUUUCGUCGUGAUGGGGCUAGACCCUUGCAAUUAUUGGUCUCCAACGAGGAAUUCCUAGUAAACGCAGAUCAUCAAUCUGCAUUGAUUACGUCCCUGCCCUUUGUACACACCGCCCGUCGCACCUACCGAUUGGAUGGUCCGGUGAAGCCUCGGGAUUGUGGUUCUUGCCGCUUUAUUAUGGCGUGACCGCGAGAACUUGUCUAAACCUUAUCAUCUAGAGGAAGGUGAAGUCGUAACA
rnacentral:rRNA from 1 species